AUUCAAACAUUUGCCAAAAUUGCAUGCUUCCUACUUCUCAUAUUACGUGCCGAAAUUUUACAUAGAUCUAUAUACAUUCAUAUUUGAACAAAUUUAAGUCACUUAAUAUGGGACGGAAGAAGUAUGUUAUUUUACCGUCGCGUUAGCUGACGUG